UACGUAGGGGGCAAGCGUUGUCCGGAAUCAUUGGGCGUAAAGAGCGUGUAGGCGGCCCGAUAAGUCCGCUGUGAAAGUCCAGGGCUCAACCCUGGGAUGCCGGUGGAUACUGUCGGGCUCGAGUCCGGAAGAGGAGUGUGGAAUUCCAGGUGUAGCGGUGAAAUGCGUAGAUAUCUGGAGGAACACCGGUGGCGAAGGCGGCAUCCUGGACCGGUAUUGACGCUGAGGCGCGAAAGCUAGGGGAGCAAACGGG
rnacentral:rRNA from 1 species